UACGUAGGGGGCAAGCGUUGUCCGGAUUUAUUGGGCGUAAAGAGCGUGUAGGCGGCCAGGUAGGUCGGUUGUGAAAACUGGAGGCUCAACCUCCAGACGUCGACCGAAACCAUCUGGCUAGAGUCCGGAAGAGGAGAGUGGAAUUCCUGGUGUAGGCGGUGAAAUGACGCAGAUAUCAGGAAGAACACCCGUGGCGAAGGCGGGUCUCUGGGCCGUAACUGACGCUGAGAAGCGAAAGCAUGGGGAGCGAACAGG
rnacentral:rRNA from 1 species